CUGAAUAACUAUGCUGAUCGCACAGUCCUCGUACUGGCGACGUAUCUUUCAAAUGUCUGCCUUAUCAACUUUCGACGGUAGUUUACACGGCUACCGUGGUUUUCACGGGUAACGGAGAAUUAGGGUUCGACUCCGGAGAGGGAGCCUGAGAAACGGCUACCACAUCCAAGGAAGGCAGCAGGCACGCAAAUUACCCACUCCCGGCACGGGGAGGUAGUGACGAAAAAUAGCGAGACGGUUCUCUAAGAGGCCCGUCAUCGAAAUGGGUACAAUUUAAAUCCUUUAACGAGGAUCUAUUGGAGGGCAAGUCUGGUGCCAGCAGCCGCGGUAAUUCCAGCUCCAAAAGCGUAUAUUAAAGUUGUUGCGGUUAAAAAG
rnacentral:rRNA from 1 species